rnacentral:lncRNA from 1 species
CUUGCUUCUGUCCUUAGCCAUGAUCUUUAUGAUGUCCCAGUUCCAGAUGGAUGUGGUAAUUCCUGUAUCGAACAUUGUGUGCAAGUCAGGUAUGUCGAUUUUCAGAUUUUGGUGUUGCAUUUGCCUUUGUUUUAUCAUUCGAUGGACUGUAUUAUUUGGUGUUGUUUUGUGUACAUGCAUUUGAGACUGAAAAAUUGUGACUCAGCCAAUGUUUGCUCAGUGAAUUGUAGUCUGACCUUCCAAGUAUACAAUUCUGCGGAUAUAUAAUAAAAAACAAUUUCACUGGGAAAUUCGAUAUAAAAAUUCGAUAUAUAAUUGUUUGUUAAAAAUUUAAAACAAUUAGAAUUUACUGAAUGUAAGCAUAGUUUGAUAAACUCCUGCUGACUUCGUCCUUAGCAUUGGUUGUAUUGUCAAAUUUUCAAAAGUAAACCCGCUCUGUCUAUAUUUUCUUGUCUUUGUAUAAAUCCAGGCAUUAUAAUAAUAAUUGUAUCUAGUCUUUGUGGAUUUAUUUUCCCUUAUUGAGCUAAAAGUAUUGAUUCCGUAGCAACAACAAAAGAUCUUGUUGUCAACCUCUAUAAUGACUAUUUUUACUGGCCAGAAGUAAAUAAAAAAGAAAAGGUUAUGUGGUGGUGCUAUAAUAUUAUUAUACAAACUGCUACCAUUCAAGAUAGCAAUUGUCUAGAUUCGAUAAAGGUUUUAUAUCAGACAUGGACCAAAUAAAUAUUUGGUGUGGGGAAAGUUUCCUUUCAUUUCGUAAUUUUGUUAUAAUAUGGGCACAUCAUGAGUUUAUUUUUGUAUAUAUGUAUUGUGAUCACUUCUUAACUAUAAUGUCUUCAAUGCAGGUCCUGAAAUUUUGUGUUGGGACCAUAUUCUGCUGCGUUUAAUAUUUGAAGAUCAAUACAAGUCCAGAGGUUCAUGUGGAGCCAGAGGCAGAUAACGGAGUUGACAAUGCGACCCAUGCAGGUUCUGAAGCUUUUAUCAAGGAACGACGUCCACUUUCUGGCUAAUGGAGCUUUGGUUGUAACUUUUUCAUUGUAACUUGGCAUGAUAGUGGUAUGUUUUAAUAUAGACUUAAUUAGUAUGAUAGCUUUUGUUAGCUCUUUGGUAGUAUAAUUUUCUUAAAUAUUCAAGCUCUGUAGUUCUUAUUUCCAUAUUGUAUUGCGACUGGUUUUUUCUUCUUUCAAUGAUCAAUAUUGCAUUUAUAUAUCA